GCCCGGUUAGCUCAAUUGGUCAGAGCGUCGGACUUUUAUGAUGAUUCGUAAUCCGAAGGCUGCGAGUUCGACCCUCGCAUCGGGCG
rfam:Aspergillus niger DNA, contig: scaffold669_007, strain: An76, whole genome shotgun sequence.